rnacentral:rRNA from 1 species
UACGUAGGGGGCAAGCGUUGUCCGGAAUCAUUGGGCGUAAAGCGCGUGUAGGCGGUUUCGUAAGUCUGCUGUGAAAGUCGGAGGCUCAACCUUCGAAUGCCAGUGGAUACUGUGAGACUUGAGUACGGAAGAGGAGAGUGGAAUUCCUGGUGUAGCGGUGAAAUGCGCAGAUAUCAGGAGGAACACCGAUGGCGAAGGCAGGUCUCUGGGCCAUUACUGACACUGAGAAGCGAAAGCAUGGGGAGCGAACAGG